rnacentral:rRNA from 1 species
UCCUUCCGAAGUUUCCCUCAGGAUAGCUGGUGCAUUUUAAUGUUAUAUAAAUAAUCUUAUCUGGUAAAGCGAAUGAUUAGAGGCCUUAGGGUCGAAACGAUCUUAACCUAUUCUCAAACUUUAAAUGGGUAAGAACCUAACUUCUUGAUAUGAAGUUUAAGGUUAUGAUAUAAUGUGCCCAGUGGGCCACUUUUGGUAAGCAGAACUGGCGCUGUGGGAUGAACCAAACGUAAUGUUACGGUGCCCAAAUUAACAACUCAUGCAGAUACCAUGAAAGGCGUUGGUUGCUUAAAACAGCAGGACGUGAUCAUGGAAGUCGAAAUCCGCUAAGGAGUGUGUAACAACUCACCUGCCGAAGCAACUAGCCCUUAAAUGGAUGGCGCUUAAGUUGUAUACCUAUACAUUACCGCUAAAGUAGAUGAUUAUAUUACUUGUAAUAUAAAUUUUGAAACUUUAGUGAGUAGGAAGGUACAAUGUAUGCGUAGAAGUGUUUGGCGUAAGCCUGCAGGAGCUGCAUUGGUACAGAUCUUGGUGGUAGUAGCAAAUAAUCGAAUGAGACCUUGGAGGACUGAAGUGGAGAAGGGUUUCGUGUGAACAGUGGUUGAUCACGAGUUAGUCGGUCCUAAGUUCAAGGCGAAAGCCGAAAAUUUUCAAGUAAUAAAAUGACUAUAUAUUACAAAAAUGCCAAUUAAUAUACUUGAAUAAUUUGAACGAAAGGGAAUACGGUUCCAAUUCCGUAACCUGUUGAGUAUCCGUUUGUUAUUAAAUAUGGGCCUCGUGCUCAUCCUGGCAACAGGAACGACCAUAAAGAAGCCGUCGAGAGAUAUCGGAAGAGUUUUCUUUCUGUUUUAUAGCCGUACUACCAUGGAAGUCUUUCGCAGAGAGAUAUGGUAGAUGGGCUAGAAGAGCAUGACAUAUACUGUUGUGUCGAUAUUUUCUCCUCGGACCUUGAAAAUUUAUGGUGGGGAUACGCAAACUUCUCAACAGGCCGUACCAAUAUCCGCAGCUGGUCUCCAAGGUGAAGAGUCUCUAGUCGAUAGAAUAAUGUAGGUAAGGGAAGUCGGCAAAUUAGAUCCGUAACUUCGGGAUAAGGAUUGGCUCUGAAGAUUGAGAUAGUCGGGCUUGAUUGGGAAACAAUAACAUGGUUUAUGUGCUCGUUCUGGGUAAAUAGAGUUUCUAUCAUUUAUGUUAGUUGCUUGUUCCCCGGAUAGUUUAGUUACGUAGCCAAUUGUGGAACUUUCUUGCUAAAAUUUUUAAGAAUACUAGUUGGGUCAAACCAAUUAGUUCUUAUUAAUUAUAACGAUUAUCAAUUAACAAUCAUUCAGAACUGGCACGGACUUGGGGAAUCCGACUGUCUAAUUAAAACAAAGCAUUGUGAUGGCCCUAGCGGGUGUUGACACAAUGUGAUUUCUGCCCAGUGCUCUGAAUGUCAAAGUGAAGAAAUUCAAGUAAGCGCGGGUCAACGGCGGGAGUAACUAUGACUCUCUUAAGGUAGCCAAAUGCCUCGUCAUCUAAUUAGUGACGCGCAUGAAUGGAUUAACGAGAUUCCUACUGUCCCUAUCUACUAUCUAGCGAAACCACAGCCAAGGGAACGGGCUUGGAAUAAUUAGCGGGGAAAGAAGACCCUUUUGAGCUUGACUCUAAUCUGGCAGUGUAAGGAGACAUAAGAGGUGUAGAAUAAGUGGGAGAUAUUAGACUUCGGUUUGGUAUCGACAAUGAAAUACCACUACUCUUAUUGUUUCCUUACUUACUUGAUUAAAUGGAACGUGUAUCAUUUCCUAGCCAUUAUACGGAUAUAUUUAUUAUAUCUUAUGGUAUUGGGUUUUGAUGCAAGCUUCUUGAUCAAAGUAUCACGAGUUUGUUAUAUAAUCGCAAACAAAUUCUUUAAUGAGACGAUGCAUUUAUGUAUUUUUGAUUUGAAAAUUUGGUAUAACUCCAAUUACUCAGGUAUGAUCCAAUUCAAGGACAUUGCCAGGUAGGGAGUUUGACUGGGGCGGUACAUCUCUCAAAUAAUAACGGAGGUGUCCCAAGGCCAGCUCAGUGCGGACAGAAACCACACAUAGAGCAAAAGGGCAAAUGCUGACUUGAUCUCGGUGUUCAGUACACACAGGGACAGCAAAAGCUCGGCCUAUCGAUCCUUUUGGUUUAAAGAGUUUUUAACAAGAGGUGUCAGAAAAGUUACCAUAGGGAUAACUGGCUUGUGGCGGCCAAGCGUUCAUAGCGACGUCGCUUUUUGAUCCUUCGAUGUCGGCUCUUCCUAUCAUUGUGAAGCAAAUUCACCAAGCGUUGGAUUGUUCACCCAUGCAAGGGAACGUGAGCUGGGUUUAGACCGUCGUGAGACAGGUUAGUUUUACCCUACUAAUGACAAAACGUUGUUGCGACAGCAUUCCUGCGUAGUACGAGAGGAACCGCAGGUACGGACCAAUGGCACAAUACUUGUUCGAGCGAACAGUGGUAUGACGCUACGUCCGUUGGAUUAUGCCUGAACGCCUCUAAGGUCGUAUCCGUGCUGGACUGCAAUGAUAAAUAAGGGGCAAUUUGCAUUGUAUGGCUUCUAAACCAUUUAAAGUUUGU